GAGAGCUUGGAGAAGACCGGAAGUCCCUCCGCCUCCGCUCGCCCUCGUGCUCCCUUCAGCCCCUUCGCAGCUCCGUGCGCAAGGUCGUGUCCCGGAAGUGAAGGGGCCAUGUUGAUGGGUGACCCGGGGAGAGGUACCCGGCCAGAGGCGAGUCCUGCGGAGUGGUAGCGCGCGCGGCCUGCGGAUGAGGAACUGAGACAGUCACAGAGGGGUUAGGAGACUUGCCCACGGUCAUGCAGCUCGUAAGUGUUGGUGCCAGGAUUCAAGUAUGGCUGAGUGCUUGUCUUCAACCCUCCUAGAUCACCCCCUGUGUUGAAGUUCUAUUACCGUUCAUUACGUGCACAGUUCUCAAAAUAAUCCUAUGUGUGUGACACCCAGCCCCUGCCAGUCCCCCAUGGCCCCGUGGAGCCGAGAGGCGGUGCUGAGUCUCUAUCGGGCUCUGUUGCGCCAGGGCCGACAGCUUCGCUACACUGAUCGAGACUUCUACUUUGCCUCCAUCCGCCGUGAAUUCCGAAAAAAUCAGAAGCUAGAGGACCCUGAGGCCCGGGAGAGGCAGCUGGAGAAGGGCCUGGUCUUUCUCAACGGCAAAUUGGGGAGGAUCAUUUAGGAUCCUCCAAGGGAAAGAGGACAAAGGUGCCUUCUGUAGACACUCCUGCUCUCUUCCAUCCCUGUCUUACAGAUGUAUUAAGAAGCCUCAG
rnacentral:sRNA from 1 species